GCGCCUAUAGCUCAAUUAGGUAGAGCGGCGGUCUCCAAAACCGUAUGUUUCCUGUUCAAUUCAGGAUGGACGUGCUA
rnacentral:tRNA from 1 species